rnacentral:tRNA from 1 species
UUUAAUAUGGCAGAUUAGUGCAAUGAAUUUAAACUUCAUUUAUAAAGAUUUUUUCUUUUAUUAAAA